AAUGAUUCAUUUUCAAUCAAUGAAUACAUAUACCAAACAGUGCAAACACAAACACAAAUAUAAUCAAGCAAUUGUUUUUCCAUUUUGUUGUGCAAGAAACUAUAAAAUAUUUCUUUUGUCAUCAUCCAAAACUCAUAUGUGAGAUAUAGGUUUAGUUGUACAUAGCUCCCUUUAGCAACAAUCUCCCCCUUUUUUGAUGUGCACAACAAGACAUUUGUUUUCCAGUUCCU
rnacentral:lncRNA from 1 species